AUGGUUGCCUGUGACUUCGAUCUGAGAUUCACUUUCAUAUCAUGUGGUUGGGAGGGUUCAGCUACGGAUGCGAGGGUUCUUCAUUCUGCAAUUAGCAAAGGAUUUAGAGUACCCGAGGGAAAGUUUUACCUAGUUGAUGGGGGUUAUGCAAACACUCAGUCAUUUCUCGCACCUUAUCGGGGUGUCCGCUAUCAUUUGAAGGAAUUUGGUCAUGGACACCCUCGACCAUAG
rnacentral:rRNA from 1 species